GCCGGGUUCAGACGGUGCGAGUAAGCAUACGAGUCGGUCUAGUCAGUUACUGCAGUGCAGCUACUCACACCGUGUGAACACAUCAUGCCAGUUAUUGUCAUGUGUGAUCCGGCGUGCGAGCUACUUCAAAGUUUUUUGAAUUUACUCGCACUUGCAUGCUUCACAACGUCAAAAACAGAAUUUAGCGUUCGAAUCAGUGAUGCCAAAUGUAAUGAAAUGUCUCUAUUUUUAAGAUAUUUGAAAAUAUGUGAAGAUAUUUAUAGACUUGAAAAUUAUUGGAAAAACAAAUAAAACCCUCAUAGUUUCUAAACGAAAUAAUUGUUAUUUCGUUUUGCACGCUGGCGGGGCACGCUUUCUUUUUGAGAUAGUUUUCUUGAGAAUCUCUAAUAUAGAAUCAUUAUCAGAUCACAACUUACAAAAAAAAGUAUUGUUCUAAGAAACAGAAUACAUAUUCGAUUUAAAAAAGUACAUUUUCAUUCAUUAUUAAAAUUUUUGAAGCGUAUCUAUUGCACCUGCAAAUCGACUAUCAUUUUCAUUUCACAAAAUAAAUAAAAUUUAAAAAAAAAAUCUUUUAGACUACCAUUUAUAACAUCACAUCCUUUCGGAAUUAUCUGAGCUAUGGAUGUUUUCGAGAUUCUAAAAAAUAUCGACAACAAUCCCAACGAUAUUCCAAAACAAAGGCACAUCAAUGUCAUUUCUAAUUUAACUCUUGCAGGUACAGCAUCCCUCAUGACUGUAUCUUGGCGUUGUAUUCGUGGAGCAAUUAAAUCCAACAGUUUUUUCACUUGUUCAGGUGUUAUUAUCAACACUGCUCUGUAAUCUCGGGGAUCCUCAUCGUAGAGUUCCUUCAAUAUUGUAUUUGUUGCUCCUUUUCUUUGCAUCUAAUUCCUGGCCCGAAUCCUUUUCUCUUUCUGCUUUUUCGGAUAGUACCUUCAGUUCAAAGAAAUUCAGCACAAAGUAUGUAUUUUUAAACACGAUCAGCGUUUGUUUUGCUAUAAAAUUGUGUGAUGAUACAUUCAACUGAAAACCUAAGAUGAAAACUGCCAAUAAAGAAGUCGAUUUUGGACCAAUCAUUUGACAAAUUCGGACCUGAUUGCUGUUUCUGACUAUUUGAUGGACAUUUGAAAAGUCGCCUGGCAUCCCUGGUAAACCCGUGCCGUAGUAUCUAGUUUCUCGCCAGCAGCUCACACUGUGUGAACGGACAAGGCGAGUCAACCAAUUGUCAAGCGAGUCCACCGGGUCAGUAGCUGCUCAUUGUCAAGUCAGCUACUAGCAACGUAUAAAUGGGCCUUAAAGCCGGGUUCAGACGGUGCGAGUAAGCAUACGAGUCGGUCUAGUCAGUUACUGCAGUGCAGCUACUCACACCGUGUGAACACAUCAUGCCAGUUAGUGUCAUGAGUAAUCCGGCGUGCGAGCUACUUCAAAGUUUUUUGAUUUUACUCGCACUCGCAUCCCUAAAAACGUCAAAAACAGCAUUUAGCGCUCGAAUCGGGGAUGCCAAACGUAAAGAAAUGUCUCCAUUUUGAAGAUAUUUCAAAAUAUUAACAAACUCGAAAAUUCUUGGAAAACAAAUAAAACCCACAUAGUUUCUAAAUAAAAUCGUUGUUAUUUUGUUUUAUACUCUUUCUUUUUGAGAUAGUUUUCUUGAAAACAAAAACAUAAGCCAUCCAUGAGUGAAGACAUCAGAUGAUAAUUCCAUAUGCCGUGCAAGGAUAUUUGAGAAAGAUACCUGGCAUCCCUAAUCAAAGAUAGAAUAUCUAUAUUAAAUGGCGGCAUCCGUGUUUGUGAGGCAAAUUUCUCUAUCAGAUUAGUAUACUUGAAGGCAGUUUUAAACCGUUAAAAUUUGAAUGAAAAUUUCAUACAUACAUUAUUUGACCAUUUAAAGCACGUGACCCUGAUCCUCAAUAAACUAUUUUCCUAUAUAUUUUUUUUAUAUUUCCACCAAAACUUAUCAUUAUAGUAUAAAGUUAUCAUCAGACACAAUUUUCGUUCAAGAUUCACUCACUACUUGCAGAAAAAGUAUUGUUCUAUUAAACAGAAUACAUAUUCGAUUUGAAAAAGUUCAUUUUCAUUCAUAAUUUCAAUUUUUGACGCGUAUUUAUUCCACCUGUAAAUCAACUAUCAUUUUCACUUCACAAAUCGGCACAAGAAGCUGCUGUCAAGGCGAAAUACGAAGAGAUAGUAGUCCGUGUGCAUUCUGUUUGUUUGCAUGUUUUUUCGUGUUAGCAGCAGCAGUUAAAAGCAAAAAAAUGACGCAAAGAUGGAAUUCGGAACAAAAUGAACACUUUGUGGAAUUAUAUAAAGAACAAACCAUUUUGUGGAACUGUAUGGAUCCCAAUUAUAAAAACAGAGAUUUGCGUAAAGCCUCGCUUGAAUACAUUCGUUCAGAAGUGGGGUUAUCGGAUACGAAAGAAGUUACAAAAAAAAUAAAAAAUUUACGUUCUACAUACAACCAGGAGAAAUUAAAAAUUGAGAAAAGCAAACGAAGCGGAUGUGGUACUGAUGAGAUAUAUAAACCUUCCGUCCAAUGGUUCGAUGCCAUGGAUUACAUCAUGAAUAUUAUUCAUCUGAAGGAAAAACAAACAAUAAGUAAUCUAGUAAGUUAUUUUCUUCUAUUAUAUAAUGCACUAUAACACUAAAUAUAUAUAUACAUUACUAAAUGAUUCGAUAUUAUACUAUACUGCAACUAUACUACACUAUAUUAUACUGUAUUCUCUAAUUAAUAAAUCAUAUUAUUUUGCCAAGUAACCGCUCCCUCGCUAUUAAAGUAAUGUUUAUAUUUAUCUCUCAUUUUCUCUGCAAUAGCCUUUGAUCUAUUAUUCAUCCGUGAGCGUUGAAUGCUUCGUAAACCCUCAAUCUCUGACCUCCACUGCCCUAAAUUAAUUUCAAAAUUUAUUAUGUCUUCAUAGUCAAUUGUUCCUGGUGGAGUAUACGUUUUCGAUGCAGACAUACGCAACCAGUUGUGUAAAGUACAUGCACAUAAAACUAUCUUCAUUGCGGUAUCCUCUCUAACCUGGAUUGGUUUUCCCAAAAUACGAAAACGAGAUGCUAAAAUGCCAAAUCCAUUUUCAACUAUUCUCCUUGCUCUGCUCAAUCUGUAGUUAAAAAUCUUUUCUUCUUUAGUCGGUGUAUUUUUAUAGGGCUUCAAUAAAUACGGCUUUAAUGGAAACGCAUCAUCACCUACUAAAACGCCAUUUUCAGGCAAUAGAAUAUUGUUUUCUAGAUGAGAAUAUAAAGAGCAUUUUUGAAAUAUCCCACCAUCUGCGUUACGACCGUAUGAGCCUAUAUCAACAUAUCUAAAACAAUAAUCGUGAUCCACGAUUGCCAUUAACACUAUGCUAUUCGUUCCCUUAUAGUUGUAAUAUUCACUACCACAAUUAGGUGGUGCUUGAAUUGUGAUGUGCUUCCCAUCAAUAGCUCCAUAGCAACCUGGGAAGUUCCACCUUGAAUGGAAUCCUACUCCUAUAUCUUGCCAUUCUUCCUUAUUCGGCAUCUGAAAAAUUAAAAUAUAAUUGAACCAUUUCAUGCAUCAACAUCUGGGAGCGAUUUUGCUGAAGAAAUUACAAUAAUCGAUGAGGAGUACCUCGAUGCUACUGAUGAAAACAACGCUGAUGAAAUCCUACCAAAGAAGCCAUCGAACAGAAGAUCGAAGAAGAAAUUGUCAACUGAGCAGUCUACAAUACAAGCGGCCGUGAAUGAACUGAAGGAACUGAAUAAUAAUUUAACAGUGUCUGCCUCGAGUAUGGGAGAACCAGAAGAUGAAUGUGAGGCAAUUGGAAGACAUGUUAUAAUGCAGCUCAGACAGUUAUCCCCAAUUGAUAGAAUUGAUGCGACAGAUGAAAUACAUGCAAUUCUUUCUAGAUACCGUAAGAAUGCCCUCUGCGUCAGUAGAAUGCAAUACACAUAUUCUGAUCACGAAUAUACUGAAACAUCACAGGCGACUGUAGGUUUUCCACCAAGAUCACCCUAACGUCCUACAUCUUCACAAUCAAAUCAACAGUCGCAAAUACUAUAACCAAGUCAUGCAAUAUUGUACUAUUUUUAAGGAUCACUUUCCAUACAAUAGAACUUAGAUAAUAAAAAAAGCUACUUACUUUAAUAAAAUCUUUUAGACUGAAAUUUAUAGCGUCACAUACUUCCGGAAUUAUCUUAGCUAUGGAUGCCUUCGAGAUUCUAAAAAAUAUCGACAAUAAUCUGAACGAUAUUCCAGAGGAGAGGUACACCAAAGUAAUUUCUAAUUUCACUCUUGCAGGUAUAGCACCCCUCAUAAGUGUAUCUUGGCGUUGUAUUUUUGGAGCAAUUAAAUCCAAUAGUGUUUCCACUUGUUCUGGUGUUACUCUCAACACUGCUCUGUACUCUCGGGGAUCAUUAUCGUAGAGUUCGUUCAGUAUUGUAUUUGUUGCUCCUUUUUUUUGCAUCCAAUUCCUGGCCCAAAUCCUUUUGCCUUUCUGCUUUUUCCGAAUAGUACCUUCAGCUCGAAGUAAUUCAGCACAAAGUAUUUUUGUAACCGCUUUUGUCACGGUACGAACUACAGUCAGCCGUGUUUUGCUGGACAACAUUGUAUACGGUAUAAACUACGGUUAGCGUGUAUUUCGGGAUCAAAUUGUGUGAUAAUAAAUGCAACUGAAAACCUGAGAUAAAAACUGCCAAUAGAGAUGUCGAUUUCGGAUCAAUUAUCUGUCAAAUUCUGAUCUGAUUCCUGUUUCUCAUUAUUUGAUGUACAUUUGAAAAAUCACCUGGCAUCCCUGGUAAACCCGUGCUGUUGUAUCUAGUUACAUGCCAACAACUCACACUGUGUGAACAGACAAGGCGAGUCAACCGAUUGUCAAGCGAGUCCACCGGGUCA